rnacentral:rRNA from 1 species
AUUGAACGCUAGCGGGAUGCUUUACACAUGCAAGUCGAACGGCAGCGCGGACUUCGUUCUGGCGGCGAGUGGCGAUCGGGUGAGUAAUGUAUCGGAACGUGCCCAUUCGCGGUGGAUAACUACGCGAAAGCGUAGCUUAUACCGCAUCCGCCCUACGGGGUAAUGCCGGGGAUCGUAAUACCUUGCACUAUUGGAGCGGCCGCUAUCGGAUUCGCUAUUUGGUGAGGUAACGGCUCACCAAGGCGACGAUCCGUAGCUGGUUUGAGAGGACGACCAGCCACACUGGAACUGAGACACGGCCCAGACUCCUACGGGAGGCAGCAGUGGGGAAUUUUGGAAAAUGGGGGCAACCCUGAUCCAGCCAUCCCGCGUGGGCGAGGAAGGCCUUCGGGUUGUAAAGCACUUUUGACAGGAAAGAAAAGUCGCAGGCUAAUACCCCGUGGAACUGACGGUACCUGAAGAAUAAGCACCGGCUAACUACGUG